rnacentral:lncRNA from 1 species
UCCUCCUCGCCGCACGACGCCUAUCUCCGAAAGCAUCGAAGACUCGAUCAAGAAAAGCACCAGCAUUCGCCGAAGGAGCGGAAAAGGGAGUAACCCAGAAAAAGUUUCAGUGAAAAGGAAUCGGAAAAGAAGGCGGAACGCGCGGUCCCUUUGCGCCGAGAGGCUGCACACCGCCGCGAACUCCUCCUCCUCCUCCUCCCCCUUGCCGCCGCCGCCCUCCCCCACGCGCGCCUCCCUCCUAAAGUUUCUCCUCACGGCCCUCGCCCUCUUUCUCUGGCCGUCUCUCGCCGUCACGGGCUCGCC